AGCGAACGCUGGCGGCAGGCCUAACACAUGCAAGUCGAACGAAGCCUUCGGGCUUAGUGGCGGAUGGGUGAGUAACACGUGGGAACGUACCUUUUGGUUCGGAACAACUCAGGGAAACUUGAGCUAAUACCGGCUGGGCCCUUAGGGGGAAAGAUGUUAUCGCCGAAAGAGCGGCCCGCGUUAGAUUAGCUAGUUGGUGAGGUAAAGGCUCACCAAGGCUACGAUCUAUAGCUGGUCUGAGAGGAUGAUCAGCCACACUGGGACUGAGGCACGGCCCAGACUCCUACGGGAGGCAGCAGUGGGGAAUCUUGCGCAAUGGGCGAAAGCCUGACGCAGCCAUGCCGCGUGAAUGAUGAAGGUCUUAGGAUUGUAAAAUUCUUUUACCAGGGACGAUAAUGACGGUACCUGGAGAAAAAGCCCCGGCUAACUUCGUGCCAGCCGCCGCCGUAAUAC
rnacentral:rRNA from 1 species